rnacentral:lncRNA from 1 species
GGAUAAAGUACAAUAAGUUUUGAAUUCUUUGUUUGAUUUCUAUAGUGCCACACAAUCAUCUUCUAAUGUGCAAUCAAGUAUUCAAUCUCAAGAAAUAUAUAAGAUGGAGGUUGAUCAUGUAGAAGAUGUUGCAGAUUUCGUGGAUUCAUUGUAUACAAAGCAGCAAAUUGGCUAAAAAAAUGCAGAGAGCAAAAAUGAGUUGGAUAAAUAUUUAGGAGAGGAGUGUGA